rnacentral:rRNA from 1 species
GACGAACGUUGGCGGCGUGCUUAAUACAUGCAAGUCCACUGAGGCAGUGGUAGCAAUAUCGCUGUGGAGGUGGCGCACGGGUGAGUAACACGUAGGUAAUCUGCCUUCAGGUCUGGCAUAACUCCGGGAAACCGGGGCUAAUAGCAGAUGAUGCAGCGGCUCGACAUCGAGACAGUUGUUAAAGCUAUGGCGCCUGAAGAUGAGCCUGCGUCUGAUUAGCUAGUUGGCGGGGUAACGGCCCACCAAGGCAACGAUCAGUAGCUGGUCUGAGAGGAUGAUCAGCCACACUGGAACUGAGACACGGUCCAGACUCCUACGGGAGGCAGCAGUAAGGAAUAUUGCUCAAUGGGAGAAAUCCUGAAGCAGCAACGCCGCGUGAGGGACGAAGGGCUUUUGCUUGUAAACCUCUGUAGUGAGAGAAAAAAAUCCCAAUCUUUGGGACAUGAUGGUAUCUCAAAAGUAAGCCCCGGCUAACUACGUG